rnacentral:rRNA from 1 species
GUAGGUGGCAAGCGUUGUCCGGAUUUACUGGGCGUAAAGAGCGCGCAGGCGGUCGAUCAAGUCGCGUGUGAAAGCCCCCGGCUCAACUGGGGAGGGUCACGCGAUACUGAUCGACUCGAAGGCAGGAGAGGGUAGUGGAAUUCCCGGUGUAGUGGUGAAAUGCGUAGAUAUCGGGAGGAACACCAGUGGCGAAGGCGACUACCUGGCCUGUUCUUGACGCUGAGGCGCGAAAGCUAGGGGAGCAAACGGGAUUAGAUACCCCGGUAGUCCUAGCCGUAAACGAUGGACACUAGGUGUUGGUGGUAUCAACCCCGCCAGUGCCGAAGCUAACGCAUUAAGUGUCCCGCCUGGGGAGUACGGCCGCAAGGCUA